rnacentral:rRNA from 1 species
AAUUUUGGACAAUGGGGGCAACCCUGAUCCAGCCAUCCCGCGUGUGCGAUGAAGGCCUUCGGGUUGUAAAGCACUUUUGGCAGGGAAGAAAAGCCGCGGGUUAAUACCCUGCGGUGCUGAAGGUCGCUGCAGAAUAAGUACAGGCUAACUACGUGCCCGAUGCCGCGGUAAUACGUAGGGUGCAAGGGUUAAUCGGAAUUACUGGGCGUAAAGCGUGCGCAGGCGGUUCGGCAAGAAGGAUGUGAAAUCCCGGGGCUUAACCUCGGAACUGCAUUCUUAACUGCCGGGCUAGAGUAUGUCAGAGGGGGGUAGAAUUCCGCGUGUAGCAGUGAAAUGCGUAGAGAUGCGGAGGAAUACCGAUGGCGAAGGCAGCCCCCUGGGAUAAUACUGACGCUCAUGCACGAAAGCGUGGGGAGCAAAC